rnacentral:rRNA from 1 species
UGGGGAAUUUUGGACAAUGGGCGCAAGCCUGAUCCAGCCAUGCCGCGUGAGUGAAGAAGGCCUUCGGGUUGUAAAGCUCUUUCGGCGGGGACGAAAUGGUUCGUGCUAAUACCACGGACUGAUGACGGUACCCGCAGCAGAAGCACCGGCUAACUACGUGCCAGCAGCCGCGGUAAUACGUAGGGUGCAGGCGUUAAUCGGAAUUACUGGGCGUAAAGCGUGCGCAGGCGGUUUGUUAAGACAGAUGUGAAAUCCCCGGGCUUAACCUGGGAACUGCGUUUGUAACUGGCAGACUGGAGUGUGGCAGAGGGGGGUGGAAUUCCAAGUGUAGCAGUGAAAUGCGUAGAUAUUUGGAGGAACACCGAUGGCGAAGGCAGCCCCCUGGGCUAACACUGACGCUCAUGCACGAAAGCGUGGGGAGCAAA